rnacentral:lncRNA from 1 species
CUGGAAUUCUAUAAACAGAACAGUUUAGAACUGAUAGAGCUAUCCAGUAUAAAAUAAAGUUAGUUUAAUUUAAUUUAGGAUUCGUCUUGUAGUAACACUGGACAAAAAAUACUUCUUUGUUUAACAGCUCGGCAUGCCAUUACCAAGCGAUCGUUGGAUUUUCGUUGGCAUAGCAUGGUCAGCAAACCAAGGCUUAGAACUCUUCCUUGACGGCAGGCUGGUUUCUCAAACCAAAUUCAGAAAACCUCAAAACCAAGUCCGUAUAGGAAAUACUUCGCCUAAUUUCGUGUUUGGUCGGUCGCUGGCAGGAACCGGAUUUUCCAAGUUUUCUCUAGCUUCCUUUUCAGCUUUUUCAACUUUCCUCGCUCAAAAUGAAAUGAGAGCUGUUUAUAGUUAUUACUGGAGGAUACGGACGUCACAUGUUGGGAUCCGAGGUAAACGCGUUACUUACAUUUGUUUGAGAUAACUGCGCCUGGGUCACAAGACUUAAUUGUGCAAGUAUAGCAGUAAAUUUCAAUUUUUCUCAGUAUCUUUUUGCAAUCCUGUAUUUACCGACCAGAUUUAUUAUCCCUAUUCUGCAACAUACUCUUUUCUUUUUUUGACAUUUUGUGUUGUUUGACUAUUUUCCCGUCCUGCAGCCAACAUUUAUUUAUCAAAACUCAAACCGUUGGUCUUUUAGUAAAGUUUGGGCUGACCGCUAUUGAAAGCUAACGCAGUGUAGAUCAUAUAUGUUCACAUUUAUCAAGGCCGUUUUAGACAUAUUCAUAAAAUGCAUGGAUGCAUGGUGUCCCCAUGCAAGAAAGGAGUUUGAUACGCGCGCGUGAACCUUUGAUUGUAACAAGCACAGGUUUUUUGCGCUCUUUUGUUACUGCUGCUAAACUGAUUUGUUUAUUGGCCUCCAAUUACAAUGCUAUACUACAUACUGUAUAAUGAACAAAUAACAUUAUUUUCUCACUUCAACAACUGUGGGUUGGCCAUGCAUCUGUUGCACAAUCAGUGGCGUAGCCAGAACGAUAAUUGAGGAGGGGGGCAUAUUCAUAUAUUCGUGUUCACAUACCAUAAAAACAAUUGAUUUCAAAAGAAAUUAAUAAAGCAGAACACGAAUAUAUGAAUAUGCCCCCCCCCCCAAUUUUCGUUCUGGCUACGCCACUAUGCACAAUACAGUGCUUAUAGUGAACCUAGAGUAUGGAAUGUUUCCAUUUUUUAGUCAUAAAAAAUUCAGUCAAACUGCAUUCCUUGAACGUUUCUAAUCUCUUGCUUUCUUUAUGCAGAUUUAAAAUGACGCAAACAAAGAAGACCGCGCCACAGAUAAGUGGAUGUUUAUCAAGAUGACCGUUUUAAAUGAGAUGAAACUUUGAUACAAACUUUACGACUCUUAAAAUUAAACCUUUUUCAAAAAAAAUUGUAACUUGUUUCGAAUAUUUUGUAGCAAAAAGAUUGCCGGCCGAUGUUAUUUAGCGAUAGAUUGGUAAAUCUAGUAGCUCUUACUUGUUUGUGCCAAUUAAUAUUAUUGUACAAAACAUUUAAAUGCAUGCAUGUUUACCUAACUGACUGUGCAACAUGAUGGUAUACCCUUGGC